rnacentral:tRNA from 1 species
GCCCUUGUUGUGUAACGGUUAGCACACUCGGCGCGUACUCGAGAGGUCCAGGUUCGAAUCCCGGCGAGGGCA